UACAGAGGUCUCAAGCGUUGUUCGGAUUCAUUGGGCGUAAAGGGUGCGUAGGCGGCGCGGUAAGUCGGGUGUGAAAUUUCGAGGCUUAACUUCGAAACUGCAUUCGAUACUGCCGUGCUUGAGGACUGGGGAGGAGACUGGAAUUUACGGUGUAGCGGUGAAAUGCGUAGAUAUCGUAAGGAAGACCAGUGGCGAAGGCGGGUCUCUGGACAGUUCCUGA
rnacentral:rRNA from 1 species